rnacentral:rRNA from 1 species
UACGAAGGGGGCUAGCGUUGCUCGGAAUCACUGGGCGUAAAGGGCUCGUAGGCGGUUUGUCGCGUCGGGAGUGAAAACCCAGGGCUUAACCCUGGGCUGGCUUCCGAUACGGGCAGACUAGAGGUAUGCAGGGGAGAACGGAAUUCCUGGUGUAGCGGUGAAAUGCGCAGAUAUCAGGAGGAACACCGGUGGCGAAGGCGGUUCUCUGGGCAUUACCUGACGCUGAGGAGCGAAAGUGUGGGGAGCGAACAGG